CCGCGGGCCGGGAAAAGGUGCGGCCCACGCCCUCCUGGGCUGCGCUGUGCGGUCGUGACGUGGGCGGUAGCCAAGGAGGGAGCGUUUCAGUGUGGGCCGCAGGACCGGCGCCAGCACCUACGCGGCCCGCUUCCCACCGUUGCUCGGCGUCUCCCCGGCGCCGGCGGCAGUUAGCGCCCCGCAGGCUCAGGCCACCUGGGUGCCUACCAUGUCCCACCGUGGAUUAGCUCUGGGACUCGGCAAGUGGCUUAACUGCUCUGUGCCUCAGUGCCCUACCUGUGGCGUGGAGUUUGGGUUUUGUUUGUUCUUUGUGUUUAAGUAGGCUCCACACCCAGCGUGGACCGCGACGGGGCUUGAACUCAGGACCCUGCGAUCAAGACCUGAGCUGAGACUGAGUCCGAAGCUUACCGACUGAGCCACCCCGGUCGCCCCUGAUAUUCCAGACUUAGAGAUAAAGAAGCCAGGAACCUGGGUAGGCCAAUGAGCACAGACAAAAAAAAGCCCCUGGAACAGCCUGCUCCCUCUAGCCAGAGAAGGACGAAGACUUGAAGACUCUUGAGUUCCCAAGCACCUUUCAUGAUAAGACGCUAAAGAUGAUUGGAAGCACAUGGAUUUCAGAGGAAAACAGAACAUGAUUAACUUCAAAAGGCUUUCGGAUUCCCAAAAUGACUGAGAUCAUCAUGUUAAUGGUGUUAAUCAUUUCUAAUGAACAGAAAAUCUUUUAAUCUUUUAUAAUUUACUAUUUGUUGUAUUUUACUAUUUUAAAAUCAUAU